rnacentral:rRNA from 1 species
AGCAGCCGCGGUAAUUCCAGCUCCAAUAGCGUAUAUUAAAGUUGUUGCAGUUAAAAAGCUCGUAGUUGAAUUUCGGGAUCAAGGAAUCGGUCAUGCCUUGGUAUGUACUGGUUUUAUUGGUUCUCACCUUCUAAAGAACCAUAAUGUCAUUCAUUUGAUGUUAUGGGGAAUUAGGACUGUUACCUUGAAAAAAUUAGAGUGUUUAAAGCAGGCUUACGCUUGAAUACAUUAGCAUGGAAUAAUGAAAUAGGACAUCAGAUUCUAUUUUGUUGGUUUCUAGGAUCGAUGUAAUGAUUAAUAGGGAUAGUUGGGGGCAUUAGUAUUCAAUUGUCAGAGGUGAAAUUCUUGGAUUUAUUGAAGACUAACUACUGCGAAAGCAUUUGCCAAGGAUGUUUUCAUUAAUCAAGAACGAAAGUUAGGGGAUCGAAGACGAUCAGAUACCGUCGUAGUCUUAACCAUAAACUAUGCCGACUAGGGAUCGGAUGAUGUUAAUUUUUAAUGA